rnacentral:snoRNA from 1 species
AUCCCAUGGUGAGGACAGGCGGCCACAUACUCCUGCAGUCAUUCCCAUGCUUCGGGAAUCGACUCGUCCCUCGUCUUCUAGAAGGUUGAGAUUCUUCUGCGGAGGGC